GUUUGCAUGUGUGGAAAUUAUAAAUAAGAUGUCGUUCAGUGACAUAGGUAACUCCUGUGAGUUUUGCAAGGACACUGUAAAAUAGUACAAGGUGCAAGGGUGAAUGUAAAAUAGUAACUGUCCAAAGAAUCAUUAACAGCUUAUUAGCAGUACCAAACUGUAUUUGAGGUACAGAAUAUAUGACCUUAUUUUAAGCUAUACCUCUCACUCUUUCUAUGUCUCAGGGGAAAGCAUUAAAUUGUUUUUCGUGGAAAACUUUGCAGUAUUAAGGGAUGAAGAGGUCAUGUGGAAACAGGCUCAACUUCCCAGUUUUAUACCGCUACUGAGAAGAAAGAUGGAAACCUAUUUCAAGUCAUUACUUCUUUGUGAGGAUAAGCAUAAGGGGACUUCAUGAGAAUGUGAAGGAGAAUCAAAUCCAAAUACCAACUUUAAUUUCAUACUGCUCUGCAUGUACAAGAUUUUUCAUGAGUUCCAUCAGCGCUUUCCAAAUCAAGCUUCAUGCUGAUCACUGAAGAGUGAAAGUGAAAGAAAACCCUUUCCUAGCAAGUCGCCUAAAUCGCACAAUUAUUGAGCAGCUACACAAGGAAAAGAGAUUGGUUAUCUCAUGUUAUGUUCAUGUUGUUCUGUGCUAAAUGUAUUUUCUUCAAGUAAACAUGUCAGUCUUUUGUUACAAAGUAACAGUCUUACCUCGACUAUUCCUAUUUUUCCAUCAGUAGUCUUCCCAUAUUGGUCCACAAAAGC